rnacentral:rRNA from 2 species
ACGGGUGAGUAAUAUAUCGGAACGUGCCCAGUCGUGGGGGAUAACUGCUCGAAAGAGCAGCUAAUACCGCAUACGACCUGAGGGUGAAAGCGGGGGAUCGCAAGACCUCGCGCGAUUGGAGCGGCCGAUAUCAGAUUAGGUAGUUGGUGGGGUAAAGGCCUACCAAGCCUACGAUCUGUAGCUGGUCUGAGAGGACGACCAGCCACACUGGGACUGAGACACGGCCCAGACUCCUACGGGAGGCAGCAGUGGGGAAUUUUGGACAAUGGACGCAAGUCUGAUCCAGCCAUGCCGCGUGCGGGAAGAAGGCCUUCGGGUUGUAAACCGCUUUUGUCAGGGAAGAAAAGGUUCUGGUUAAUACCUGGGACUCAUGACGGUACCUGAAGAAUAAGCACCGGCUAACUACGUGCCAGCAGCCGCGGUAAUACGUAGGGUGCAAGCGUUAAUCGGAAUUACUGGGCGUAAAGCGUGCGCAGGCGGUUAUGCAAGACAGAGGUGAAAUCCCCGGGCUCAACCUGGGAACUGCCUUUGUGACUGCAUAGCUAGAGUACGGUAGAGGGGGAUGGAAUUCCGCGUGUAGCAGUGAAAUG